GACGAACGCUGGCGGCGUGCUUAACACAUGCAAGUCGAACGGAAAGGCCCUGCUUUUGUGGGGUGCUCGAGUGGCGAACGGGUGAGUAACACGUGAGUAACCUGCCCUUGACUUUGGGAUAACUUCAGGAAACUGGGGCUAAUACCGGAUAGGAGCUCCUGCUGCAUGGUGGGGGUUGGAAAGUUUCGGCGGUUGGGGAUGGACUCGCGGCUUAUCAGCUUGUUGGUGGGGUAGCGGCUUACCAAGGCUUUGACGGGUAGCCGGCCUGAGAGGGUGACCGGCCACAUUGGGACUGAGAGACGGCCCAGACUCCUACGGGAGGAAGCAGUGAGGAAUAUUGCACAAUGGGCGGAAGCCUGAUGCAGCAACGCCGCGUGCGGGAUGACGGCCUUCGGGUUGUAAACCGCUUUCGCCUGUGACGAAGCGUGAGUGACGGUAAUGGGUAAAGAAGCACCGGCUAACUACGUG
rnacentral:rRNA from 1 species